CCCUUAGAUGUUCUGGGCCGCACGCGUGCUACACUGAGUGGAUCAGCGGGUCAGGUUGCGCGAAAGCGUUUCCUAAUCUUUAAAUCCGCUCGUGAUGGGGAUUGACGGUUGCAAUUUUCUGUCAUGAACGAGGAAUUCCUAGUAAGCGCGAGUCAUCAGCUCGUGCUGAUUACGUCCCUGCCCUUUGUACACACCGCCCGUCGCUCCUACCGAUUGAGUGCUCAGGUGAAUAAUUCGGACUGCAGCAAUGUUUGGAUCCCGAACGUUGCAGCGGAAAGUUUAGUGAACCUUAUCACUUAGAGGAAGGAGAAGUCGUAACA
rnacentral:rRNA from 1 species